rnacentral:rRNA from 1 species
GAUGAACGCUGGCGGCGUGCCUAAUACAUGCCAGUCGAGCGAACAGACGAGGAGCUUGCUCCUCUGACGUUAGCGGCGGACGGGUGAGUAACAUGUGGAUAACCUACCUAUAAGACUGGGAUAACUUCGGGAAACCGGAGCUAAUACCGGAUAAUAUAUUGAACCGCAUGGUUCAAUAGUGAAAGACGGUUUUGCUGUCACUUAUAGAUGGAUCCGCGCCGCAUUAGCUAGUUGGUAAGGUAACGGCUUACCAAGGCAACGAUGCGUAGCCGACCUGAGAGGGUGAUCGGCCACACUGGAACUGAGACACGGUCCAGACUCCUACGGGAGGCAGCAGUAGGGAAUCUUCCGCAAUGGGCGAAAGCCUAACGGAGCAACGCCGCGUGAGUGAUGAAGGUCUUCGGAUCGUAAAACUCUGUUAUUAGGGAAGAACAAAUGUGUAAGUAACUAUGCACGUCUUGACGGUACCUAAUCAGAAAGCCACGGCUAACUACGUG